UUCAUUUUCUUCUUCUCUCUUUCUCCCUCACUCCCCACGUUCCAUUCUCUUCCCCACCAGCAGCUGUCGGCAUACUCACCACCACCAGCCACCUGUUUUUUUUCUUCCUCCACCACGUGCACAGCAGCAGCCGACUGUUACCCACCAACAACAACCACAGCCGUGUCAGAGACCAGCUGGGUGCAGCACCGCCAGCAAGCAGCCUGUCUGGGCCUCCCUCCAGCCGGUUCUGGGUUUUUCCACCACCUCCACAAGCUUCAUUCUCCUCUUCACUUUCCUUACUAGUUUUAUCUUAAAGAAGUGGAAAGAGAAAUACAAAUUGAUGAAGAAGAAGAACAAGAAGAGGAACCAACGACCCCUAUUGGGAUACAUAUAUCUCGACAGUCAUCAACAAGAUCACAUGAAGAACAAGGAGAACAACAACAACAAAGACAAGCUCGUGAUGAACAUGAACCAGUAAGACAACCUUUUCCGGCAAUGAACCUCCUGGUGGUAGAGCUGUUUCACAUGUGUGGUCGUAUUUCACAAAAGAACCAACCGACAAUCCAGAUGUUUUCUUAUGCACUUGUCAAAUUUGUGAAAGUCAAGGAUUAAAGCCCUUAGUUUCAUACAGUUUCGCCAGAGCAUGGAAUCACAAAAGAAACUCAUGCAGCAAGCGGCAGCGGGACCACAAGUGGAAGCCGACAGACACAGUGGGACAUUCCCAGCACAGGUAUGCCUUUUAGAUAUAAUCGUAAUGAUAUGAUUGAUGAAUUUUCUAAGUAUGUAAUUUGUGAUGAAUUGCCUUUUAGCCGCGGUGAAAGUAGGGCACACGAGCGUUUCGCUAGAAAAACUUGGCAACCACAACAUAAAGCAAUCCCUAGGAGCACUCUUAAAAGACGCACAAUUAAAUUAUAUGAAUCAAUGCGCUAUGAAUUAGUUGAAAUGUUUAAAUCUUUUAACGGUAGGGUUAGCAUAACAACUGACAUUUGGUCUGCUCCCCCACAUUUAGAAUCUUAUAUGUGUGUAACAGCACAUUGGAUAGAUCAAAAUUGGAUUAUUAAAAAAAGAAUAAUUGCUUUUGAGACAAUGCCAGAAAGACAUACCGGUGAAAACAUAAAAUAUAGAUUAGUAGAGAUAUGUAGAGAAUUGAACUUAUUAGAUAAGAUAUUUUUUUGUUCAACUGAUAAUGCAACCGCUUACAUUAAAUGUAUAGAACUUUUGUAUAACGAACCUGCAUUUAGUUUUAUCCUUGGGGGUAGCUUAUUACACAUACGUUGUUGUGCGCAUAUAGUUAUCUUGCCAAGCAGGUAUAAAACAAUUAAGCGAUUUAUUAGAAUCAAUUAGAGAUAUAGUGAAGUGGCUUAGGAUUGGAAAGAUAAAGAGACGAUAUAAACAAUUAUGUGACCAAUAUCAACUAAAAAAAGUGUAUUGGUCAUUAGAUACGUCUACACAUUGGGGCUCAACCAACGAUUUAUUAAGAAAGGCGAUUGCUUAUCGUCCAGUUAUAACACAACUGUAUAGUGAGUGUACAGAUAGCUAUAUAGCUGAUGACACUUGGGAAUUAGCUAUAGGUGUACAUAAUAUAUUAGUUACGUAUGACCACGCAACUAAGAUUUUUUCAUAUGUUUAUGAACCGAACGUUCACUUAGUAGUAAGUGAGUGUAUUACUAUUUUUUAUCAUCUCCUUAAACAUACGCAUGAUGAUACUAACCCAUAUUUGACGCCGAUUCUUGCAGAUAUGAUGGAAAAAUGGAAGACAUAUUUUACCGAUUUUUCUUAUAUUUAUGGAAUUGCAACCAUUUUAGACUCAUGUUUUAAAACUGAAGUCCUUACUAAAGUAAUAGGAUUUUACUACCAAUCGUUAGAUCGCCCGCCUACUGAUGUACAUAAUUAUGUUGGAACAUGAAAAAAUAUUUAGCAGAACUCUAUGAUUAUUACGCUAGUGUAUAUAACCCAAAACGCGAUACGUCUAGGCGUGCUAGCGUUUCGGCACGUCCCUCUUAUUAUAAUUCGGUAAUAGCUAAUAUAAUGAGUCAAGAUGAUAGUUUUGUAGGAUCAUCUUCUUCUUCACCCUCCACCUCAUAUUUAGAAUUAGAUAGUUAUCUUAAACACCAAUUUAAAAUUGAUCAAAGUAGCUAUAAUAUUUUAGAGUGGUGGAAAGAAAAAUCUGUAAAAUUUCCCAUUUUAUCAAGAAUUGCAAAGGAUAUCUUUGCAAUUCCUGCGUCAACAAUUGCGUCGGAGUCUGCUUUCAGUGCAGGUAGAAGAGUUUUGGACGAAAAGAGAUCUCGUCUUGCAACACAUAGUAUUCAAAUAUGUGUAUGCAAGAAAGAUUGGGAUCAAGCGGAGAUUCGAACACAAGGACUAAGGAACGAUGAUGAUCAAGACGACGAUGAUGAUCCAUGGAUGAUGAUGGAUACAUCUGCAUCAUCGUCAGGAGGAGAGUCAGCGGAAGCAUCUAACCAACCAGAUGAUGAUGACGAAGACGAAUAGGAUCAAUCGGACAACGAUAAAUCAACAUUCAACAACUAUAUAUAAAAGGCAUGACAAAGAACUACGUGGGCUUUGAUUCUUUCGGGAUACGUAAGCAGCUUAGUAUUCCUUUGGGUACUAGGUUCAAGUUUAUUUUCUCCCUCUUUUUUUAUUAAUCAUCUUUAUCGAUAUUAUCAUUGAUU